CUUAACCACUGCGCUACCCAGGCGCCCCUAAGAUAAACACCUUUAUGAACUGAAGUGGGAAAAAUAAAUAAAAAAUCAAUUACCCAGGAUUUGGGGAUGAUCUAAGUACUGUGAAGUUUGCAGUGAAGUAUGGCAAGAUUCCUCCCUUUAUUAUUUAGGUAGAGACAAAUCUAACACACCAAAAACAAGAGUGGAAAACGGAAGACAGUAAAUUGUCCUGGCCUGGCAUGUGGUAUUGACUCCUCAAGUGCUAUAGGCAAUGGGGAUCAAGAGGAAAUUCACAAAGGAAAGUGAGGGAACACAGGCCUUGAGCUGUGCCUCAGAAGAUGUGUAGUAGAAGGAGGAGAAUCCCGGGGUAGGGAAACAUGAGAAGUAUGAUGUUUAAUUUUAUGUGUCAACUUCACUGAGGCAGGGUGUGCCCAGAUAUGUGGUCAAACAUUAUUCUGGUGUUUCUAGGAGGCUGUUUUUGGAUGAGAUUAAUAUUUAAAUCAACAGACUGAGUAAAGAAGUUGCCCUCUUUAAUGCGGAUGGGGUCUCACCCAAUCCAUUGAAAGCCUAAAUAGAACAAAAACACUGACCCUCCCCUCGAAGUAAAGAAAGAAUUCUUCCUGCCUGACUGCUUUCAAACUGAGACCCAGGCUUUUUUCCUGAUCUUGAACUCAGAUUGAAACACUGGCUCUUUCUGGAUCUUGAGCCAUUUGGACUGGAACUUACACCAUCAGCUCUCCAGAUUCUCAGGCCUUCUGACUCAGACGGGAACCAAACCAUCUGCUCUCCAGGGUAUCCAGCAUGUUAACUCACCUUGCCAAUCUUGGGAAACCUGCCAGCCUCCACAAUUUCCAUGAGGCACUUCCUCAUGAUGGAUCGAUCGAUUGAUGGAUUGAUCUAUCUAUCUCCAUCCUUUUGGUUCUAUUUCUCUAAAGAACCCUGACUAAUACAGUAAGUAAAGACACACAACAUUUGCAGGAUACUGCAAAGGCAGUUUGGCCUGACCAAAAUAGAGAGUAUAUGUUGUGAGGAAAUUCAAGAUAAAGUUGUUUUGAUUGAGUAGAAGAUGAUGGAAAGCUAAGAAGGGUGCAGGCUGGCAAUGAGAUCAAAGUAUCCCACUCUUAAAGUGAUCACACUAUCACUUGUCACUUCUGUUAUUCUUUACAAACAGCUCAAAUUUGACUGAGGAUUUCAUCUCAAUACUGUAUCCCCAAGUGCUCACCACCAAUCAUUUAGCCUCAGUGUGCUAGAGUAAACCUUUUAAAAAUCACCUGGGAACCUGGAUAAAAUGUAGAUCAGAUUCUGGUUCAUUAGGCUUAGGUAGAGCCUGAGUUCUGCAUUCCCAAGUGAUGCAGAUGCUGCUUUGAGGACCAUACUUUCACCAGGGAGCAUCCCUUGUUUAGUUAAAGCUGCUUGAAUCAAGGAGCCACUGAAGAAAUACUACCUAGCCUCUGAACAAGUAAGGCAUGGCCUGGGAACAAGAGAGUACCUUCUGGAAUUGUUUUUGAAUUGUUUCCUGCAUUUGACCUCCUAAAUAUUGUCGUGGGAAUGGAUUGUCAAAAAUUUGCAAAAUCAUGGAAGAAAAUUGAGGAGGAAACCAAAAUUCAUCCAUAAUAUGUCAUUUGAGGAUCUAUCACCUGCUUGCUGUAUGACCCUGAAGGACUUAUGUAAUCUUCUUAAGUUUGGAGAGACAGCCAGCGAGAGAGGGAACACAGCAGGGGAGUGGGAG